GUUGGAGACCGUGGAGGGCCUUCGUGAAAGGGGAUGAGCUCGAGUGGACUCAAGUUCGAGGAGCAAGUUUCUGUGAAGGAGAUUGUAAUAUUUCUGUUAAUGAGUUUUGAAUGAAGAUUACGAGAAAAGAACGCAAUAAAUAAAAGAAAAAAGAGAUGAGAGACAUCAUCAUCAUCAACGAGAUAUCUAAAUACACUUCCAAGAGGAAAAUCAAAGAAGAUGCUUAUGCGACGCUAAUCGUCUCAAGAAUUAUUGAUUAAAACGAGAAAUUUAAUAUUGAAAGACUAAAAUUGAGAAUUGUGAUAAAUAUUUGAUGAAACUAUUACUAUAACCUCUUUAAUGUUAUUAACGAUUCAAUUAAAAAUAAUUGAAUCUCUUCUUAACAUCUUCGAUUAUCCAUAUUAUAUCUUUUGAAAAUGGUAUAAUAAAAAUAUCUUUAAAAAAAUGCUUCUGUAAAGAAUAAUUCAAGUAAAAAUAAAUUUCGAAAUUUCGAAAAAACAUUUCAUAUAACGAUAUCGUUGAUCGAACAUUGUAAGAAAUGGCGCAUGUUUUAUCGGCAAUACUGUUCUACGAAACAGUGACGCGUUAUCCAUAUAUCAUCGUUACGUAAUAUAUGUGAUAAUCGUAACUAGUAAACAAAACAAUGAGAUUCGAUGCUUGGCGAAUGCUUUUGAAAUAUUAUCGAUCACAUAACACGAAUACGAAUACAAAUAAAAUUAUUUUUAUUUUCAUUUCAUUCAUCUAAUUGUGUUAAAAAUUAUAUUUCAUCGUGUAUUUGUAUUUUUUGGAUCUUUAAACAUUGUUAAUUACUUGUCAACUCUGCAUUAUAUCUUGAUGAUGUCUGCUUUUUUACACGAAGUAAUUUUUAAAAAUUAAUUAGAGUAUAAUAUUAAGAAUUUUCCGUCACGUUAUCAAGACUAUAAAGAAAUGUUUUUCUCAUAUACGUAUCUGUACAAGUUUUGCAAUAUAUAUUGAUAAUUAAAGAUUGUGUUUGAGAUAUUAA